rnacentral:rRNA from 1 species
AUGGGCAUAAUUUCCAGGCGUUCCGUAUACGAACCUCUUCAAACAGGGCUUAUUGCUAUCGAUUCGAUGAUCCCUAUAGGGCGCGGUCAGCGAGAGUUAAUUAUUGGGGACAGACAGACUGGCAAAACAGCAGUAGCCACAGAUACAAUUCUCAAUCAAAAAGGGCAAGGUGUAAUAUGUGUUUAUGUAGCUAUCGGUCAAAGAGCAUCCUCCGUAGCUCAAGUAGUAACUACUUUCCAUGAGGAGGGGGCCAUGGAAUACACUAUUGUAGUAGCUGAAAUGGCGGAUUCACCUGCUACAUUACAAUACCUUGCUCCUUAUACGGGAGCAGCCCUGGCUGAGUAUUUUAUGUACCGCGAACGGCAUACUUUAAUAAUUUAUGAUGAUCUCUCCAAACAGGCACAAGCUUAUCGCCAAAUGUCCCUUCUAUUAAGAAGACCUCCCGGCCGUGAGGCUUAUCCAGGGGAUGUUUUUUAUUUGCAUUCACGCCUUUUAGAAAGAGCCGCUAAAUUAAAUUCUCUUUUAGGCAAAGGAAGUAUGACCGCUUUACCAAUAGUUGAGACUCAAUCUGGAGACGUUUCCGCCUAUAUUCCUACUAAUGUAAUCUCCAUUACAGAUGGACAAAUAUUCUUAUCUGCGGAUCUAUUCAAUGCCGGAAUUCAACCCGCUAUUAAUGUGGGUAUUUCUGUUUCCAGAGUAGGAUCCGCGGCUCAAAUUAAAGCCAUGAAACAAGUAGCUGGCAAAUCAAAAUUGGAACUAGCUCAAUUCGCAGAGUUACAAGCCUUUGCACAAUUCGCCUCUGCUCUCGAUAAAACAAGUCAGAAUCAAUUGGCAAGGGGUCGACGAUUAAGGGAAUUGCUUAAACAAUCCCAGGCAAAUCCUCUCCCAGUGGAAGAGCAGAUAGCUACUAUUUAUACCGGAACAAGAGGAUAUCUUGAUUCGUUAGAAAUUGAACAGGUAAAUAAAUUUCUGGAUGAGUUACGUAAACAUCUAAAAGAUACUAAACCUCAAUUCCAAGAAAUUAUAUCUUCUAGCAAGACAUUCACCGAGCAAGCGGAAAUCCUUUUGAAGGAAGCUAUUCAGGAACAGCUGGAACGGUUUUCUCUUCAGUAA